UUUUUUUUUUUUAAUAAUUUUAUUUAUUCACUUGAGAGAGAGCAAGUACACAAGGAGGGAGAGGGUCAGAGGGAGAGAAACUCAAACAGACCUCACGCUGAGUAUGGAGCCCAACACGGGGUUAGAUCCCAUGACUUUGAGUCAGAUGCUUAACUGACUGAGCCAGGCAGGCGCACCAGUACUAUUAUUGUUUAUUUACAACCUACACAUUAUUUAAGGCAUAUGAUGGUUGAUGAUUCACAUUUUUUGUAGCAUUAUUUGUAGUUGCAGUAUCGUUAGUACUACUGUUAGCUCCGGCACUGAUUGUAGCUUUGCUGAACUGCAGGUCAUGAAGUUGGGUUAAGCUUUCUGCCUCUGGAGCUUUGGUGCUGCUUUAGAAUGCUUCCUCUUCCAAUAACCCAAACUGAAGCUGAUGGCCUGACAACUCUGUGGCGAGGGACAAAAUCUGAAAGCUACUAUCGUGGAGGAGGCUGUUGGUACAGUAUGGUCUAGUCCGGCACCAAGGCUAUAGGCAGCAGAAACUACCACAGCUCUAAAAGAGUAAGGAUCUGGACAAUCUCACUUGGCUGCCCUUAGCCCUGGCUCCUGUCGUCUUGCUGAAAUAAACCUCGCAGCUUCCUUUAAGCCCGAGAGCUUCUGAAGCAGAGGAGAGAGAGUGACAACCCUUCUCCGAAACAUUAGAGAUGGCAAAGAGGUUACUGUCAAUUUCCUGAAAUCAUGUAUUCAGUUUCAUUUAUUUCUGGUGUGGGAAGUUGUUUUGUCUGCUGAACCAAGUCAGUGCAACAGUAAUUUGAUUAGAAUAAAAAGGCUUUUGUUUUUACUUAGAUUCUGCUUGCUAUUUAAAGCUUCAACUCAGAAAUAUAUUUUUUUUCCUUGGAACUAGAUAGUGUGGGAAUAAACUAAACAACGUUAAAUGAUUGUUCAUGUCUAUAUAUUUUUUCCAUGCAUGUAAAACCAUGAAGAGACAGACUUUUAUACUUGAAAACAAGGAUGUUUUUAAAUCAAAUCAUUAACCUAGGAUUUGCUUGCUCAUUUACCCUGAGUAUUCAGUUUUAGUUGUCUUAUAUGUAAACUGGUACUAAUGGUAUCAACCUAGCAGGAUAGUAUGUAGAUUGAAUUAAUCUACUUAUUUAACAGAUAUACCUGAGAUGUCCCUUAUGCCAGGCACUCAUCAGGGACACAGAAUUCAGCAAUAACCAGAGAGGUACCCUGGGCAUACAUCUCAGGAGGUAGAGUUAGCAUAGAGCCUGGCAGACAGCAGGCACUCAAUAAAUGCCUUUAUCUCCUCCAUAGGGGACCGCUGUGUGGAGGUCCUUCCAGAUUAAAAGAAUGGUAAUCUCUUGUUAAUGGUGUAAAGCAUACAAUAUCUGAAUUUCUAUCAAUCUGAAAUUAUAAUUUAUUUUUCUCUAUUUAUAUAUGCCUUACUCACAAUUCAAUUCUAUGUAUAGGACUUGCUCCUUUAGUUUUAUAUUUUUAAGAUACAUUUUACUCAGUGAGUAUGAUUCUUCCUAAUUUCAAUUCCCUUUUGUCCUGGUUCAAUAUGGCAUCAAUAUGAUAUGUUAGCCUGACAUUCAAGGCAUUUCUCAAAAGUCUUUCUCUCUUUACCUCUCUCUGCUCCUACUACAUCAGACAAGAUUGAUGAUUUACACAUCCCCAAAUAUGGUCUCUGCAUUCCUAAAACCUUGUAUUUUCAUUUAUAUGCCACUGUUUUAUAAUCCCCAUAAACCUAGUUUAGUUAAUCUUUUAAUGUGUGAAUCAAGAGCUCAUUAAAAAAUUAACAAAUAAAUAAAUGAGUAUGCACACAGGUCUAGACUAUGAAUCUCCCAAAAGCAAGGGCUCCUUUCCUAUUAUUUUAUUUAAUACAGAGUACCAUUAGCAUAUACACACAUCUAUACAUUUUAAUUAAUUAAAUAAUUUAGUUUAAAUAAAUUGAAUUACUUGGUUAAUUAACUCAGUUUAAAAUAAUAAUUUCAACAACAGAUGAAUACAUAGAAAAUACUGAAUCUAUGAUUCCAGACACUUGAUUUACUAGGAUUUUCAUUUUAUUCUACUCCAGAAAUUAUAUAAAUUAUAGGUAUCACAAUAAAAGAUUUAAAUUUAUUAUCUAAACAAUUUUUUGUUGUUGUUGUUGUGGAUAAGUAAUGUUCUUAAAGACUGGAGAAAUUUAUUUGAAAAACCGUUUGACCUUGGGGCAUCUGGGUGGCUCAGUCUAUUAAGUGUCCAACUUUGGUUUCGGCUCAGGUCAUGAUCACAAGAGUAUGAGAUUGAGCCCUAUGUUGGGCUCUGUACUCAGCACAAAGUCUGCUUAUCCCUGUCCCUCUGAUCCUCCUCCCACUCCCUCUCUCUUAGAAUGAAUAAAAGUAAACAAACUAAAAAAAAAAAAAAAGAGUUGGACUUUAUUGUAUUUUUACAUAAUGGUGGUUCCAUUUCUUUUAUUAAAAUGUAUGUCAUAUUAGAACGGCACAGUUACCGAUGUACUAGGACGUAAACUUAUGAGUAGAACAGAUUAUGAAGGAAACCAGAAGGGGUAACUUUUCUCUUUUAAAUUUGAGUAUCAUAAAAUAGUUUAGUUGCAUAUUUUUAUUCAAUAUCAAAGGAUCUGUACAGGAUUUAGCCAAUGUUUAACUGAAUAUUAUUACAAAAUGUGACCUUAUUUACUAAAGAAAGUUGGAGAAAAAAUUAAUUACUUUUUAACUGUCAAAUACUGCUUGACAUUCUCCCACUGUUGUGUGUACAAUUACUGCUAACCAUUCACAGCUAUAGUAAGUUUAAAAUCAAAAUGCAGAUAGACAAGUGGCUAAGCAUGCAGUCAAGACAGUCAAAAUGUUGAGAAUUAAUGUGAAAUCUAAUUUUAAUCUAAUUUAUUAUUAUUGAAUUAUUAUCUUAAGUUCCUUUAGGUUUUACAUUUGUAGCUAAUGGUGAGAUAAUCUAAACAGAGGAUAGGGUUUUCACAGAGUAGAGUAGUGGGUUCUCAAGGCUAUCAAACUACACCCUCAAAAGAGGCUUUGCCUAAGUUACAUGUUGAACAAGGUUUUAAUAGGAAGCUCAAGAUAAGGAAUUAGGCAAAAAGUCUGGGUUUAUAGGGUAAGGUUUUUAACUUCAACCAUUUUUGUGUGCUUACACAGUGGUAUGUUAUAUCCAAGUAGCUGUAAAACCUCAAUGGCAGCAAAACUGCACAGAAAUUACAAGAGUUUUCUAUAAGAGCUUCCUAAAUUAAAUUGAUUUUUUUAAUGAAGAAAAACACAAAAUAACAAAGAUAAAAAUAAAUAAAGGCCGUGUCUUUAGGUACAUUAGAUUGAUGAACAAUGGAAGCAGAGAAAAAAAUGAAAAUGAGGGUGAGCUAAAGUCAUGCUUUGAGCACUGAUGGGUAGGGACAAGUGAAGCAAAGAUGGCGGUCCUGUCAAAAGAGCUCAACUAGAAUAGCUUAGUGUAUAGAAGGGUUUUUUUAAAUAGUAAGUUGGCUUAGCAAGAAUGAAAUAAAAAUAGGUGCCUUAUUACAUUGGCUUAAGAUUAUUAGUUCUCAUUUGAGGAUAAGAGGAGUUGAAUCAAAAGCUAUAAUAUUUCAAAAUGGCGUGUCAUAUGCCAUUUUAAGUCAAUCAGAGAAAGAAAAUUAUAUGGUUUCACUCAUAUGUGGAAAAUAAGAAACAGUGCAGAGGAAAUUGGGGUAAGGGAGGGAAAGCAGAAUGCAAAGUCAUCAGAAGGGGAGAAAAAACCAUGAGAGACUCUUAACGGAAGGAAACCAAAUGAGGGUUGCUGGAGGGGAGGUAGGUAGAGGUAUGGGGCAAGGGUGAUGAGCAUUAAAAAGGGCACAUGAUGUGAUGAGCACUGGGUGUUAUACGCAAUUGAUGAAUUAUUGAAUACUACAUCUGAAAAUAAUGAUGUACUAUAUGUUAGCUAAUUAAAUUUAAAUUAAAAAAUUAAGUUAAUUAGUUAAUAAAUUAAUAAGACGCCAUCAUACUUUCUAAAAUGCAAGUCUUCAAAGCUGCAUAUAAAUGUCUUACCAAUUUACAUACACUACAAAAAUCAUAGUUGCAGCAUCAUAAAACUUAGAAUAAUAGCAAUGGUUUUUAAUAUACUCAUAUCAAAUAUUAUUUUAAGAUAUUCCCCCAUAUAGAAAUCUAUUAUAAUCACUUAGUGAUAUAUAUUCCACAAGGGCAGGGUCUUUCCAAUUUUUUAAUGUGCAUAAAUUAUUUUCAAAAAUAUGUUUAAUUUAGAAUUUUACAAUUUACACUCAUGGUAAAAAUGAAAUACUUUAGACUAUUUUUGACAGAUAACAUCUUUUCUUACUACUAGAUUCAAUGACCUAGAUAGUAAUAAUUGGAUAGAAAAUAAUUCAGCAAACAUUUCACUUGGGAAAGAAAGGAAAAAUUCUCUGAAUGAAGGAGAGUAUAUUUUAUCUCACCACCAUAUCAACUUUGAUUUUUGAUGUCCCUAUUUACUUUCCAACUUAUCAAGUAACAUCAAAUAAAUCAAAAUAUUUGCUAUUGAAAGCCCUGGUUGGCAUUUGGUCUAAUAUUUUUAGCCAUGUUCUUGUACUUGGGAAUCCAGCAGAUUUUUUCCCUUUAUUAUCUAGCUCUCCCUUUACAUUUUCAGAAAGCUGCAUUAUUUUAUCCCUAGUAUCUGCUGUCAAUAAAAUUGAAUCCAUUCUUGUCUACUGGUCUUUUGUUACUCAGUAGUUUGAGUUAGUAGUUGCUCGUCUUCUUUUCAUAUUUCUGACCCUUUUUUUCUUCUUAUACGUUGUCUAGUGUUAGGAGACACACUGAUAUAGGGAAUUAUAAAAGAAAAAAAAUAAAAUAACAGGAAAGGAAGGGAAAAAAUAAAGCCUACAGUGCAGAAGUUGCUUUCUGGCAGCAAUAGAAUUACAGAGAAAAGAAAAAGUUGAAAUCUGACAGGAUUAGCCUGCUGACUUGCUGAGUUUAUAUGAGCCCUGUAAAGAAUACCAAUGAGAGAAAAAAUAGAAGCUAGAAGACAAUGUUAUAAAUCUCACCCACAGACUUCUUUACCAAGAGUUGGGAAAUAAAAAGUUCUGGAUACCAUUAAUGGUUAGAAUGUCACCAAAAAGAAUCAGUUUGGCAUCUGCUUCUCGGUUCAAAAUUAACAUAAACACUGGAGGUGAGGUGCUUUGUAAAAUACUUAUGUGAAGUGCAGCAGAACAACGUGGACCUCUUCUCCCUUCUGACACCUGGGAAAUAUACUAAAUGGGACUGGAACUAGUAACACACAUGUAAAAACUACUGAGUUAGUCUACCUAGUGUGAGAACUAGUAACAAUUUCCCCAGGAUUGAAAGACUUGGGAUAGACAGAAUAUAUACUGAAAAAAUAACAUCAAGUUUUUAUUUAUUUAUUUAUUUAUUUAUUUAUUUAUUUAUUUAUUUAUUUUUACAUCAAGUUUUUAAAGGGUUUAAAAAUCAAUUAUGUGGCUUCAUUUUUCUAGAAAGUGCAUCCAAUUGAUAGAAGCAGGUAAGCAUUAUUGGGAAGAUCCUAAUGGUGUAACACUUCUGAUGUCUGUAACAACAUUUAUUUUCCAUCUGUGUCUUAGUACUCCAAAAUCAUCACACAUAGGCUAUCUCUCAUAAUAAAUGAAGACGUGUUUGAUACGUAGCCUGGCAAUACCACUACAGAAUGUGGAUUGUCUUUCAAACUUGUCUCUGUGGUUAGUAAUAUAUAGUACAUCCUAGAUGUUUGAACACUCAGACAGAAGAUAACAGAUUAUUUCAGAAAGCACAUAUAAAUUAGAAGAGAACUCCUGAUAGCAAGAUUAUCUGCUUGGUCCUGGCACUAAGCAAAGCUCUCUGAAGGAUACUCAGGCUGUAUUAGGUGGCUGACCGUGCAGGAAGGAAUAGUGAAAGAAUUGAGAAGUAUAUUAUUUCAAAUUUAGUAGCACCAGUUACAGCCAACUCCCGAGGCAGCAUUUUCAGAUGAAUUUAAUAGGGGGAAAAUAUUUUUUUAAGAGACCAAAAGAAAGAGAUGUUUAUAGAUUCAUAUAAAAGUAUUUAAAAGCUUUUCUUUAAUCUUCCCACUGUACUUCAUGAUCCUAAAUAAAACAAACAGAUAUCAUCCAUGUAAUUUCUCAUAAUCUUCCAACAGUUUCAUUAGCAUUAUUUCUCUUGUUCUUUAUCAUCAGGGUUAGGGAUAUCGAUGUUCAACAAGGGGGAGGCUAAGUCACUGGAAAUCUAACUGAAUGAAUUAAGGCCAACUGAGUCCCAACAGAGCUUGGACUCACACCAUAGACUUCUCAGUCUAGUGUCUUUUGCUCAAUACAUGGACCAUGCAGUCUUGAAAGACCAUAUAAACCUAUAAAAAGAAUGAUUUAUAGCCAGGUAUUCAUUUUAAGUAGAGUUAAUUUCAUUGUUGUAAAUUAUUUUAAAUGUCUGCUCCACUUGGACAUCAUAAUUACUUUCAUUAGUAAAUAAAUUUGCAUUUUGAAGUAGAGAUUACAUGGGUAAUAUUUUCCUGUUUGCAGGUAAUUUACUGCCAGGGGAGAUUCUCUCAUUCUACAGUAAUAAUCCUCUUAAACUUGCUCUAGCAACACUGGAAAUCAGAAUACAGCUUGCCUUUAGUGAACUUAAAUUG
rnacentral:lncRNA from 1 species